UACAGAGGGGGCAAGCGUUAUUCGGAAUUAUUGGGCGUAAAGGGCGCGUAGGCGGCCUGACAAGUGGAAGGUGAAAUCCCUCGGCUUAACCGAGGAACUGCCCUCCAAACUGUUUGGCUUGAGACCGGGAGAGGUGAGUGGAAUUCCCAGUGUAGCGGUGAAAUGCGCAGAUAUCAGGAGGAACACCGGUGGCGAAGGCGGGUCUCUGGGCCGAUACUGACGCUGAGGAGCGAAAGCGUGGGGAGCGAACAGG
rnacentral:rRNA from 1 species